rnacentral:sRNA from 1 species
UUUAAAAAUCUUAAAAAGGACGAGAAAGAAGACAAGAAGAAAAAGAAGAAACAACGAAGACCUAGGUAUUUGUUGUAACUGAAAGCCCUACGUCCCAGGUUUCAAGUUUCUCAGAAGGAAUCAUUAACCUCACUCUGAUGUUCUGCAUCAUUUGUACUUAACAUGUUAUAAAUACAUUUUGUAUGUGAUGCAUUUUUAGUCAACUGAAUUCGUAUGCUUACAAUUCGGUUAAAGUGUUCUUUAAAUAUUUUUACGAAUCCAUUACUUAAAAACAAUAAAUACACAUAUAUCCGAUAAUAA